UACGUAGGAUGCGAGCGUUAUCCGGAUUUAUUGGGUUUAAAGGGUGCGUAGGCGGGCUUUUAAGUCAGCGGUAAAAAUUCGGGGCUCAACCCCGUCCGGCCGUUGAAACUGGGGGCCUUGAGUGGGCGAGAAGAAGGCGGAAUGCGUGGUGUAGCGGUGAAAUGCAUAGAUAUCACGCAGAACCCCGAUUGCGAAGGCAGCCUUCCGGCGCCCUACUGACGCUGAGGCACGAAAGUGUGGGGAUCGAACAGG
rnacentral:rRNA from 1 species